ensembl:lncRNA
AUGACUGUAGAAAACUGGGAGUCAUUUGAAGUGUGCAUUGCCUCCUCUCAUACAGGCAGGAGCUGUUGGAGACUCCGGAGGGUCUGAAGCUGGAAAGGGUGUUUUUCUGCCUGAACAGUUCUGUGGAUAGGCCAAAGAUGGGACAAAAACGACCUAUGGGAGAGAAAGAGACCUACCCAGAAGGAGAAGAAUCAGACGUAUCAUUGGGAUCAGAUGCAAUCAGCCCUUACCUGCCCAGGGCAUCUCUAAAUCUCACUUGACAAUCUUUUCCUUCUGUCUUUAGGCAACAUUUUUCACCUCUGCUGAGUUAGCUUGAAACCUUUAAUUCCAUCCUGCUUGCGCUUCCAAGAACAUGGUGAGCAUCAUGGAGUGCAGGUGGUCCCUCCUGGUCAAUUCCUGUCCCUCUGCGUGCUCUGAGAAUCACACAUUUAUGGAUAAAAAGACCACAGGACUUUGCUAAGUUGGACAUCAUGGAGGACAGUGAUAAAAGCUGGAGGCCCAGGAGGACCACAGAACCUCCCUGUUGUACAGAGUACAGAAUAUGACAUGGAGCUGUCUGAGGAUUCCUCCACUACAGAAACCAGACUGAAAGAACCAUUGCACUCAGGACUUCUCCCACCCCAGUGCUUCUGCACGGCUUCGUUUCCCAUGCCAGGUUUAAAUAUUUCUACCAAUACACACCCUCUCCAAAAGAGCUUGUUUGCAUUCAGCUCAAGCUGAUUGUUCAUAAGCAACAGUCCAUAAGCAUAAAAGCUUCCACUUAUUAUUUUCUCAGUUCUCUUACUAUUUGUUCUGUGAGCAGAUAACAUUGAUUUCAGCUUGCUCCCCAUUUUUUUCAGUCUUGCACAAGGGCAGAUGAGGAGGCAGAAAGGAACCUCCCUUCUCUGCCUUGAAAUGGAGUCUACUAUCAACCAGUCGAAGCAGAGGAACAAGCCCUUCAUCAUGCUAUAUAUAUAUACAGCCUGGCUGGAAGACUACAUUUUCCUUAGCAUGCCUAAUCCCACAAGUAUGUAGUGGCUUGCUCUACAAAAACCUCAGCUUUUCAGGUGCUAGAAAAUAUGCAUGUUCCAUGUUACUUGAUAGUUUACUCACAUCCCUGUCUCCUGGAGGCAAGUAAUUGCUGAGCCUCUCAGCUUUCCUUAAAAACUACUUGUCUCUCUGCUUCUCCCGGGAAGACUAAAGCCUACUCUCCAUGUAACCCCAUGCAAAGAGCAAUAAUGGACUCAGGAUUUCUUAGUUUACAUUUUUCUACUGUAAAUUCAGAAGAACAGACUUGAAUUAUUUUCUGUUCUCUUCUGUCAUACCGCAGCCCUAGCUUCACAGCAGACUGGCUUACAGUGCUGAGAUGUACACUGGAUGCCUCCCCCCCCCCAGUAGCAUUCAAGGCCAGGCUGAAUGGGGCUGUGAGCAACCUGGUCUAGAGGGAGGCGCCCCUGCCUAUAGCAUUGGGGUUGGAAAUACAUGAUCUUAAAGGUCCCUUCCAACCCAAACCAUUCUAUCAUUUGCCACAGCUUCAUUAGAAGAAUGGAAAGGUCUGGUGAAGUUGGGUUUUGGUUAUGGAGCUUAUCAGAACCAAGGUAUUAGAAGUUAUCACUGCUUCCCUGCUGCAACCACGCUGCAUUAGCUGGUCUCCAAGGAAGCAAUGAGAAUUGAACAUCCAGGGAGGUGGGAAGGGCUUUUCUCCACCCAAAAAUACCUUCUGAGGUUUAUAAAGUGGGCUGAAGUGGACGAACCAAAUUACAGCACUUUCGUAACCUGCCUGACAGAGCUUACACAGCUGCAUCCCCACUGGUAGCAAAAUACCUGCCCUGUGCAAGAGCCAGAUCCAAGCCUGUCCACUGCCAUUGCAUCAUAUGUAGGUUACAGGGUGAUGUGCACCCACUCUCACCCUCUUCUUCUGGAGUUGUACAAAUGCUUCUCACUGAUGCAGCUGUUGGGAGACUUCCCACACCCCAUGGGAGUGCUCUAAGCACAAAAUGAUUGUCACCCCUGCUCUUGUCCAGUGGGUAUUUCAUUAUCCUCACAAAGAGGAGUAAUUUCAGCUGGAGAAAAGAAGAGGCACCCAGGUCAGAGUACCCAUAAUUAUCGCAGUGGGAGCUCUCUCCUAGGAUAUGCCAUUCCCCAGUCAACACCAACAACACUGGGCUGUGGGUAGUUGUCUAGAAAUGUUAUCACCUUCUCCUCCAUCUUGUGAAUGAUUCCUCAGGCUCAUGAGAACAAUAUAGCUUGAGAUAUGUGUACAUGCUUCUGGAAAUGCUGAGAUGAAAUGCUUCAACAUUUCCAAUUUUUUUUUUUUUUUUUCAUGUAAUCUGAAAGCAUUUGAGGAUAUGCAUCAUAUUUGGCAAAUAGCUGUGGCCACCCUGGAACCACAAUUUUAGCAAAUAAAUGAUUCACUG